rnacentral:lncRNA from 1 species
AGGUCAUAACGGUCCAGUAACAGGAGUUGUCAUUGACAGACUGUAGCCAAUCAAGGAUAAUAACAACAUUAGGUAUUUUGGAUUAAAGCAGGCAAGACCAUAUACUUCUUGCACAUGUUCCUUGCAUCAGCUUGCGUUCCCAGUGUCUCCUUUUCCUACUAGAUCUAUUGACCAUUUGCUGUAUCCAUCUAUUGCUUCCGAGUUGGAUCAUAUGUAAGCUUAUAUUUGCCGGCUUCCGAUCGAUGUGAAGAAGCCUAGCUAGGCCUGAUAGUGAUAUAAGGUCAUAUCCAUAACUUAAUUAUGUCAUGUGCAGGGAUGUGUAAUUUCUGUGAUGCAUUAAUGGAAGGCACGUGAACAAAUAAAAU